rnacentral:rRNA from 1 species
AGAGUUUGAUCCUGGCUCAGGAUGAACGCUAGCGACAGGCUUAACACAUGCAAGUCGAGGGGCAGCACAGGUAGCAAUACCGGGUGGCGACCGGCGCACGGGUGAGUAACGCGUAUGCAACUUGCCUAUCAGAGGGGGAUAACCCGGCGAAAGUCGGACUAAUACCGCAUGAAGCAGGGAUCCCGCAUGGGAAUAUUUGCUAAAGAUUCAUCGCUGAUAGAUAGGCAUGCGUUCCAUUAGGCAGUUGGCGGGGUAACGGCCCACCAAACCGACGAUGGAUAGGGGUUCUGAGAGGAAGGUCCCCCACAUUGGUACUGAGACACGGACCAAACUCCUACGGGAGGCAGCAGUGAGGAAUAUUGGUCAAUGGCCGAGAGGCUGAACCAGCCAAGUCGCGUGAGGGAUGAAGGUUCUAUGGAUCGUAAACCUCUUUUAUAAGGGAAUAAAGUGCGGGACGUGUCCCGUUUUGUAUGUACCUUAUGAAUAAGGAUCGGCUAACUCCGUGCCAGCAGCCGCGGUAAUACGGAGGAUCCGAGCGUUAUCCGGAUUUAUUGGGUUUAAAGGGUGCGUAGGCGGCCUUUUAAGUCAGCGGUGAAAGUCUGUGGCUCAACCAUAGAAUUGCCGUUGAAACUGGGGGGCUUGAGUAUGUUUGAGGCAGGCGGAAUGCGUGGUGUAGCGGUGAAAUGCAUAGAUAUCACGCAGAACCCCGAUUGCGAAGGCAGCCUGCCAAGCCAUGACUGACGCUGAUGCACGAAAGCGUGGGGAUCAAACAGGAUUAGAUACCCUGGUAGUCCACGCAGUAAACGAUGAUCACUAGCUGUUUGCGAUACACUGUAAGCGGCACAGCGAAAGCGUUAAGUGAUCCACCUGGGGAGUACGCCGGCAACGGUGAAACUCAAAGGAAUUGACGGGGGCCCG